GCGGCCGCUUCCCCAGACGCUGGGAUGCCAGGCCCCCCAGGCCCCCGCACGACUGGUUGUGGGCGGGGGACUGAGGGACGCCGGGGUGGCUGGCGGCAGCUCGAAGGCUGGCCGGCGGAGCGCGGGAAGUACGGUGCGGCAGUGCCGAGACGCGCGGAGACGCUUUCCCUCCUCCGCAGGUGCAGCGGGGCGUUGCGCGAGCUCACUUACUGCUUCCCGGACAUCUGCGGACCAAGGAGUUUGAGCUACAGUGGGGCCAAGGAAUCUUUUAUUCCAGUGAAACUUUAAUGGAAGGCUGACACAUAAAGAACUGCCGUGGCUGAAGAAAAGGAUGGGUGAGGAAGAGGUGAGGCUACAGUGAAAGGACUUCUGUCUAUAAACCAGGAAGCAGACCCACACUGGACACUGACUCUGCUGGCACCAAGAUCUUGGACUUCCCAGCCUCCAAAACAGUGAGAAAUAAAUUUCUCUUGUUUCUAAGUUACCCAGUCUAUGGUAUUCUGUUAUAUCAGCCCAAAUGGACUAAAGUGACUGAAUGAAUAAAUGAGUAAACUGCCAU